UAAAACCACGGCGCUGCAGUUUUUGCUUUUCUCUUCUUUCUUCUUCUCCGCCCUUAAACUGGCUCUCUCAACUACUACACGCAGAGACAAAGCAACAGCGCGCGCAUUAGAUCCCAUAGAUGAGAUGAAUAUUUACAAUUAGUAUUAGGGUUAUAAUUAUAUUCGAGUGCUGAUUGCCGUGCUAUCGUUUGUUAACGAAGCUUUUCCUCAAGUCUAAAUAUAUUAAGGCAGUUUGUCGUGUGCGUAUCAUGGCUACGCACGCUUAUAUCGCAUUCCGUUUCUCUACCACGGGUGCGCUUUAAAACCACGGCGCUGCAGUUUUUGCUUUUCUCUUCUUUCUUCUUCUCCGCCCUUAAACUGGCUCUCUUCACUGUACUACACGCAGAGACAAAGAAACAGCGCGCGCAUGCGAUCCCAUAGAUGAGAUGAAUAUAUAUAUAUAUAUAUAUAUAGAGAGAGAGAGAGAGAGAAAACUAUCAGUCAUAGCUCUCGUAGUAUAGCCCUCUGGGCCGUUUCCUUUUUUUUUUUCGAAAGUAGUCCUAUUAGGGUUAUUAUAAUUACACGAAGGUAUUUCGCCCUCAUCAGCAGCAGUCCUUGGUAUAGUUAUUCUGGCGGCUAGCUUCCCACGCUAUGCGUGCCGCCAUCGCACCUGGUUAAGCUUUUCCUAGACGCUAGAGUUAGGCUUUGUCCGCGCAACCUUGAGCGAUCGGAAAGCGCGUCUCCCCCUCUUGGCCGGCGGAGAAGGGAAGCUUCGUUCCGGCCGCGAGGCUCUCCACAUCUCUGUAAGGUGCCUUGGGGAUGUCUCGUGCCGAAGAUGCCCUCUCGGUUCUGCGACUACGAGCCCGUUCACCAGCCAACUCUCGCUGACGCUCGCAGUAGGCAGCUUCUCCCUCAGGAGGACGCACUUCUCGUGGUCCUGCCAUAGUUGUAGCUGGGAUGGAAUGUGCAGAAGCAAUUAUCCAAAACUCCGCAUAUUGGGAGCAGGGCCUACCACUGGAGAUGAGGGUGCUGUGAUCGGUUUGACAAUUGGUUGGAUUGCUUUGACGAUUGACGUCUUUGUGUUUCUUAGUGAGGUUACACACACAUUCGGCUGCGACGGAGAGAAUGACGUCAGGGACGGUGUGCCCCUAGUCCUCCGUUGUCGCUUGCAUUCGAUGUCUCCAGUUUGCUCGGUGGUGUGAUCAGCAACAUGUGCCCCGCGCUGGCGCUUGCGAUUCUUCAAAAUUAAGUUGCUUCAAAAUUAAAUCUGCCCGGCACGCAAGACAAUAAAGGGCUCAUACUCCCUUAAGCAAUGGCUCAUACCCGUUACGGCUGGAGAAGAGUGAAAUUCUACGUUGAAAUGACGAGUGACAACGAAACCAGCUGUGGAAGAAGACGACGACGACAACGAACGUGGAAGAAGUGGCACGAGCGCCUUGGCGCGGUUGAGCCGAGGGGCGCCAACGAGCCAGCUGUGGUAGAAGACGACAAUGCUCGAGCCAUUGCUAAUGAUAGUAGUUUCAGUGAAGUCCGACAACGACUGCACCAGGUCCGCAUAAACAGUUUCGCUGUAGUAAGCGAGCAUCACGCUAGAGUGUGAAUAUAGCAAGUGAAUGCUGAGCGUGACCGAAACUUAUCGGUAUUGGACAUAUUGACUAGUUCCUAAUGUUAUCGCCGGUGGAGGCGUCGAAGGACAGCGGAGCUGCGCUUGCUGCUUAAUGCCGGGCGACCUUGCGUACCACCAGAUGCUGACGCGUGUGGUCUGAUAGCUACACAAAUUUAGAGAAGCACCCUUAUGAAUAAACAUUCAAAUAAACCAACAUGCUCGUUUAAUAUGCUUUAUUUCGGACACGAUAGUACGACUGCCUAUGGACCCGGGCGGCAGCGUGGCAUGGAAGGGAACCGAGUAGCAUCUGUAACGCUAGCAUCAACGCAGCCAGAAGCAUGCAAUGAAUGGAACAACGCUAUAUCUGACAAAAUCAAGUACGCUGCUGGGUAUGCCUUCUAUCCGCAUUAGGUGGCCCUGUUGAAUUCUAAUAGGCGAAAUGCUAUUCAUGGUGUUCCAGCUUGUAUUCACCUAGUAUAUAACAGACAGGCUGCAUUGUACAUUAAUAAGACCAAGUGU